rnacentral:sRNA from 12 species
CUAUUCUGGGGUUUGGAAGGGGAAUCCCCUUUCCCGGUUUAAGGAGGGUGCUCAGGAUGCAAAUAAAUGUUUCAAGGCAUCCGUCGAAGGGAAC